rnacentral:rRNA from 1 species
AUACGUAGGGGGCGAGCGUUGUCCGGAAUGAUUGGGCGUAAAGGGCGCGUAGGCGGCCCGGUAAGUCUGGAGUGAAAGUCCUGUUUUUAAGAUGGGAAUUGCUUUGGAUACUGUCGGGCUUGAGUGCAGGAGAGGUAAGUGGAAUUCCCAGUGUAGCGGUGAAAUGCGUAGAGAUUGGGAGGAACACCAGUGGCGAAGGCGGCUUGCGAGAUUGUAACUGACGCUGAGGCGCGAAAGCGAGGGGAGCGAACGGGAUUAGAUACCCCGGUAGUCCUAGCUCUAAACGAUGCACACUAGGUGUUGGUGGUAUUGACGCCAUCAGUGCCGUAGCUAACGCAUUAAGUGAGCCGCCUGGGGAGUACGGCCGCAAGGUUGAAACUCAAAUGAAUUGACGG